rnacentral:tRNA from 1 species
CCUGAUAGCUUAGUUGGUAAAGAAUCUGCCUGCAAUGCAGAAGACCCUGGUUUGAUUCCUGGGUCAGGA